UACAGAGGUCUCAAGCGUUGUUCGGAUUCAUUGGGCGUAAAGGGUGCGUAGGCGGCGCGGUAAGUCGGGUGUGAAAUCUCGGAGCUUAACUCCGAAACUGCAUUCGAUACUGCCGUGCUUGAGGACUGGAGAGGAGACUGGAAUUUACGGUGUAGCGGUGAAAUACGUAGAUAUCGUAAGGAAGACCAGUGGCGAAGGCGAUCACCUGGGGUUAUUCUGACGCUGAGGAGCGAAAGCUAGGGGAGCAAACGGG
rnacentral:rRNA from 1 species